rnacentral:rRNA from 1 species
GGGCGUUAAGUUGCAGGGUAUAGACCCGAAACCCGGUGAUCUAGCCAUGGGCAGGUUGAAGGUUGGGUAACACUAACUGGAGGACCGAACCGACUAAUGUUGAAAAAUUAGCGGAUGACCUGUGGCUGGGGGUGAAAGGCCAAUCAAACCGGGAGAUAGCUGGUUCUCCCCGAAAGCUAUUUAGGUAGCGCCUCGUGAACUCAUCUCCGGGGGUAGAGCACUGUUUCGGCUAGGGGGCCAUCCCGGCUUACCAACCCGAUGCAAACUGCGAAUACCGGAGAAUGUUAUCACGGGAGACACACGGCGGGUGCUAACGUCCGUCGUGAAGAGGGAAACAACCCAGACCGCCAGCUAAGGUCCCAAAGUCAUGGUUAAGUGGGAAACGAUGUGGGAAGGCACAGACAGCCAGGAUGUUGGCUUAGAAGCAGCCAUCAUUUAAAGAAAGCGUAAUAGCUCACUGGUCGAGUCGGCCUGCGCGGAAGAUGUAACGGGGCUAAACCAUGCACCGAAGCUGCGGCAGCGACGUUUAUGCGUUGUUGGGUAGGGGAGCGUUCUGUAAGCCUGCGAAGGUGGCCUGUGAGGGUUGCUGGAGGUAUCAGAAGUGCGAAUGCUGACAUAAGUAACGAUAAAGCGGGUGAAAAGCCCGCUCGCCGGAAGACCAAGGGUUCCUGUCCAACGUUAAUCGGGGCAGGGUGAGUCGACCCCUAAGGCGAGGCCGAAAGGCGUAGUCGAUGGGAAACGGGUUAAUAUUCCCGUACUUGGUGUUACUGCGAAGGGGGGACGGAGAAGGCUAUGUUGGCCGGGCGACGGUUGUCCCGGUUUAAGCGUGUAGGUGUGUGUUCCAGGUAAAUCCGGAAAAUCAACACUGAGGCGUGAUGACGAGGCACUACGGUGCUGAAGCAACAAAUGCCCUGCUUCCAGGAAAAGCCUCUAAGCAUCAGGUAACAUCAAAUCGUACCCCAAACCGACACAGGUGGUCAGGUAGAGAAUACCAAGGCGCUUGAGAGAACUCGGGUGAAGGAACUAGGCAAAAUGGUGCCGUAACUUCGGGAGAAGGCACGCUGACACGUAGGUGAAGUGAUUUACUCACGGAGCUGAAGUCAGUCGAAGAUACCAGCUGGCUGCAACUGUUUAUUAAAAACACAGCACUGUGCAAACACGAAAGUGGACGUAUACGGUGUGACGCCUGCCCGGUGCCGGAAGGUUAAUUGAUGGGGUCAGCGCAAGCGAAGCUCCUGAUCGAAGCCCCGGUAAACGGCGGCCGUAACUAUAACGGUCCUAAGGUAGCGAAAUUCCUUGUCGGGUAAGUUCCGACCUGCACGAAUGGCGUAAUGAUGGCCAGGCUGUCUCCACCCGAGACUCAGUGAAAUUGAACUCGCUGUGAAGAUGCAGUGUACCCGCGGCAAGACGGAAAGACCCCGUGAACCUUUACUAUAGCUUGACACUGAACAUUGAGCCUUGAUGUGUAGGAUAGGUGGGAGGCUUUGAAGCGUGGACGCCAGUCUGCGUGGAGCCGACCUUGAAAUACCACCCUUUAAUGUUUGAUGUUCUAACGUGGACCCGUAAUCCGGGUUGCGGACAGUGUCUGGUGGGUAGUUUGACUGGGGCGGUCUCCUCCUAAAGAGUAACGGAGGAGCACGAAGGUUGGCUAAUCCUGGUCGGACAUCAGGAGGUUAGUGCAAUGGCAUAAGCCAGCUUGACUGCGAGCGUGACGGCGCGAGCAGGUGCGAAAGCAGGUCAUAGUGAUCCGGUGGUUCUGAAUGGAAGGGCCAUCGCUCAACGGAUAAAAGGUACUCCGGGGAUAACAGGCUGAUACCGCCCAAGAGUUCAUAUCGACGGCGGUGUUUGGCACCUCGAUGUCGGCUCAUCACAUCCUGGGGCUGAAGUAGGUCCCAAGGGUAUGGCUGUUCGCCAUUUAAAGUGGUACGCGAGCUGGGUUUAGAACGUCGUGAGACAGUUCGGUCCCUAUCUGCCGUGGGCGCUGGAGAACUGAGGGGGGCUGCUCCUAGUACGAGAGGACCGGAGUGGACGCAUCACUGGUGUUCGGGUUGUCAUGCCAAUGGCACUGCCCGGUAGCUAAAUGCGGAAGAGAUAAGUGCUGAAAGCAUCUAAGCACGAAACUUGCCCCGAGAUGAGUUCUCCCUGAGACUU